rnacentral:rRNA from 1 species
CCUGGCUCAGGACGAACGCUGGCGGCGUGCCUAAUACAUGCAAGUCGAACGAACCGCAACAGAGGGCUGGCACUUGGUCAAGGUGAGUGGCGAACGGGUGAGUAACACGUGGGUAACCUACCUCAUAGGGGGGGAUAACAGUCGGAAACGACUGCUAAUACCGCAUAGGACAUGGAAGCACAUGAUUCCGUGAGGAAAGGGGGCGCAAGCUAUCGCUAAGAGAUGGACCCGCGGUGCAUUAGCUAGUUGGUAGGGUAAAGGCCUACCAAGGCGAUGAUGCAUAGCCGACCUGAGAGGGUGAUCGGCCACAUUGGGACUGAGACACGGCCCAAACUCCUACGG